UACGAAGGGGGCUAGCGUUGUUCGGAAUCACUGGGCGUAAAGGGCGCGUAGGCGGCUUUAUAAGUCGGGGGUGAAAGCCUGUGGCUCAACCACAGAAUUGCCUUCGAUACUGUAGAGCUUGAGACCGGAAGAGGUAAGUGGAACUGCGAGUGUAGAGGUGAAAUUCGUAGAUAUUCGCAAGAACACCAGUGGCGAAGGCGGCUUACUGGUCCGGUUCUGACGCUGAGGCGCGAAAGCGUGGGGAGCA
rnacentral:rRNA from 1 species